AGCUACAAUUAAUGAACCUAACAAAUAGCUUAUUUGUUAGUACCCUAAUAUGUGGAAAUUAGGUUAACUUGCUUAACCUUAUUUUUAGGAAAUACAAGUACAAGGCCCAAAUGCUGCAAUAUAAAAGGAUGGCAAUCCUUCUUUCAGAACUAGGGGUUUUAGGCGUGAAGAUUUUAUUGUUCAAUCAUACUUCACUGCUGUAUUUUUGGUUGUGUCUUGUAUUAGGUUUAUCUUGUAAGCCAAGCAAUUAUCACUUAGAUGAUUGCAUUGGACUAGGGUGUUCAU
rnacentral:lncRNA from 1 species